UAGUAUGACCAAGUCACCCUGAAUGUGCCUAAUCUUGUCGGAUCUCAGAAGCCAAGCAGUAAUGCGCUUGGUUAUUACUUGGAUGAGUGACCACCACCAGAACUUACCAAGUGGUAUAGGCA
rnacentral:rRNA from 1 species